UUAUUAUUAUGUUGAAUAAAUUGUUUUUGUGGUACUAGUGACAAAGAUUUUGAAGCUUUAGUGAACAAAUAUUCAGAUUGAAGACAACUGUAAGAAGAAAGUUCCAGGUUUUGAGUUUAAAAUUGUGCGUCUGGACUGUAUGUGAACAAGAGCUAACAUAAUUAAGUUGGGGAAAAAUAACCGAGGCUGAAACACUUGUGCAAUUGAGCAGGUAAUAUGAUAGAUUAAUUAGUUUUUGUAGAACAUUUAGUGUAUUAUAUCCUUUUGAUUUUGUUUUUGUUUUUUAGUUAUAUUAUAAAUAUUUUUUAGGAAGAAGUGAAGGUUUAAAGAGUCGACCCAAUUGGUAUACAAAGAUGAUACCUAUAAUUAUAUACCGAUGAUAGAAGAUUUUGAGAUUAUAUUUGCAGCAAAUGAUGGUUAGUUGUUGAAAUAUAAUGGUUUGGUUAUUCGUAUUCCUUUUAUUUUAGAAAUAUUUGUUGUUUAUUGUGCAAUAAUUUUAAGUUAAAUUUCAUAUUUAAUUUCUAGUUCUGCAACACCUGAUACAUGUAAAGAUGAUCGAAGAUGAGAGUGAGAAUUUGAGCAACCUGUGUGUGUGGUGAAGGUAUGCUACUUUAAUAAUUUACUAAUUUUAAGUCAUACAUUUUGUUACAAUUCUUCUCUAAUCUUUAUGAUAAAUCUAAUAUUCUGAUUAUUCUUUUAUACUCAUUCUACUCAAUGCAUCUUGUUUUACCACCCUAUGUUUUGCAUACAAAGUUAUGAUCUAUCAGAUAUUGUCAUAAGUUUCUCAUUUUGUCUCUUUUCUCUUCUCUGUCCUUUGUUCUUUGUUACAUUGCAUUAAUUUUUUCUUUUGGUUUACCUAAUCCAGGAGAUGUUAAUGGAGAUGAGGCAUUAGUGACAGUGGUUAUAUAAACAAGUUGGAGACAGUACUUUCGCUUGAGGGAGUUGGAUGACAGAUAAAAAGGAACAACUUUUCAAGAGUGCAAGCUAAUAUUUCAUACUGCCAUCGAGCACAAAACUCAAUCGGAAGGAUCUGUUAGAGAUACCAUGUCAACAUUGCAGUUAAAGGAUUGAUUUUUUUUGUUUUUAUUGUGACUAUAUUGCAAACGGUUAGAAGAUUGUAAAUGGAUGUUCUGGUUGGAUGUUGUAUUAUGAUUUUUAUCACACAUGCAAAGCUAUAUAUAAGAUCAUUUGCUUGAUUUAA